AUAUUCUAGUGAUUUGUUCUAGUACACUUAUGUUUAGGUUUUGGUUUCGAUCUCUUUCGAUUUAGGCUUUAAAAUUUCUGUUUUGUAAUGUGUUCAUGUUUCCCCUUUAUAGGGUUUUAGACUCCAAAAAAUUUACGUUUUCCUCCAGCUUUAGUUUUCAAGGACUUUUCUCUCGUACGUCGACUUUAGUUUCCGAUGACUUUUCUUUCGUCCAUCGGCUUAGCUUCCCUUGUUUGAAAUUUGUAUUUCACCAUGGUUCCAAAACAAGUUUCAGAUGAAAGAAAAAAAAAGUUCUAGUACACUUAUUUUAUACCACUCAAGUUCAACGCACAAAAUUACAAUUCUAUGUUCAACUUUUUUUCGUUUAAUUCUGCAAAU
rnacentral:sRNA from 1 species